GCUGAUUUGGGAUUUAAAACUCUCAGCUGAGAAGCCAGGAUAGAGUGAUGACAAGACAUGCUUGGUCCAUGCUUGGACACAGAACUACAAUCCAACCCAAACCCACAAAACAACAGGCAUUUGGUGGGAUUGGACCAAGGUAAAAAAAAAAGUCAAAAUGUCACAUCACAACUUAACAUUAGAAGGAUUAGAAGGACAUGAGGGGUUCUCUCAGCUGAGGAACGUACAGCAUCACUUGUUUUCAUCUCCCCUCAAUCCCUCAACAGCUACUAGUUGUGCUCCGUUUGGUGCAGAUGUUAAGGGGGAACAUUCUGAAAGCUUAUAUCCUGUUUGCAUGUU
ensembl:lncRNA